rnacentral:rRNA from 1 species
UACGUAGGCAGCGAGCGUUGUUCGGAGUUACUGGGCGUAAAGCGUGCGUAGGCGGUUUUGUAAGUUUGGUGUGAAAUCUCCCGGCUCAACUGGGAGGGUGCGCCGAAAACUGCAAGGCUGGAGUGUGGGAGAGGUAGGCGGAAUUCCUGGUGUAGCGGUGAAAUGCGUAGAUAUCAGGAGGAACACCGGUGGCGAAGGCGGUUCUCUGGGCAUGACCUGACGCUGAGGAGCGAAAGUGUGGGGAGCGAACAGG